rnacentral:rRNA from 1 species
GACGAACGCUGGCGGCGUGCUUAACACAUGCAAGUCGAACGAAGUGGCGAACGGGUGAGUAACGCGGAAUAAACCUGCCCUUCAGAGGGGGAAAACAGAGGGAAACGACUGCUAAUACCGCAUACUGAAGGAGGGGAUUGCGGCUGAUUAGUAAGUUGGGGGGGUAACGGCCCACCAAGGCGAUGAUCAGUAGCGGGUCUGAGAGGAUGAACGGCCACAUUGGGCCUGAGACACGGCCCAGACUCCUACGGUAGGCAGCAGUGGGGAAUCUUCCGCAAUGGACGAAAGUCUGACGGAGCAACGCCGCGUGAGUGAUGACGGCCUUCGGGUUGUUAAGCUCUGUUAAUCGGGACGCGGUACCGGAAUAGAAAGCCACGGCUAACUACGUGCCAGCAGCCGCGGUAAUUC